CAGAUGGGGCUGCAGAACUUGACUCUUGCUGGAAGCCUCAAGUUCAUCAGAAACAGUCGUGGCCCAUGUCUUUGAGGUUUGCUUCUAAGGUUAAGGUUCCAUAGCAAGUGGAGAAACCUUCAAUUGCCUUAGUGGAGUAAGAAGGACUAAGCAAAUCUCUAGUACAGAACCUUGCUGGGCUGAGAAGGAACCUCUCCUGCAGCCAAAGAGGGAGUAAGCAGAGGUCCCAGACCUCAGACCUGCCCUCUCACACCAGACCUUCUCUUCUGAGAAAAAGAGGAACCACCUAUUGCAAAUGGGCAGCAAAGUUUGGCUUUCAGGGUUAGAUGGAUGUGUCCUCCCAAGAGGCAACCUCGGGGUGGGGCUCCUUUGAUGGAUAUGUCACAGAAUGCAGGACAGUUCAUGAGUAGCUGAGCAGUUACAGAGGCAGCGGUGCACAACCAAGCAGUGAGAGUGGCCAUGCCAUGGUGCGUCCCCCAAACGACACUCAGCACCUCAGCAUCCCACCUCCAGAACACUGAAAUGUGGCUGUGAGCAUCUGUGCUUUAUCUUAAUUUUGUGCCUCCAUUAGCAAGAGGUGUCCUAAGACUUCAGUCCCAAAUGACAUGGUGUCCUGCACCCCUGGAAGAGAAAAAAAAUGGGAGAAUGGUUGCCAAGCAACCACGGCACCAGGAUGUCCUGAUUGCAGCGUGAUCGACUGGAAUCUGAUGUGUAUGUGUUAGUCGCUCAGUCGUGUCCAACCCUGCGACCCCAUGGACUGUAGCCCGCCAGGCUCCUCUGUCCAUGGAAUUCUCCAGCAAGAAUAUUGGAGAGGAUUGCCAUGCCCUCCUCCAGGAGAUCUUCCCAACCCAGGGAUCAACCCAGGUCUCCCGUAUCACAGGCAGAUUCUUUUCCAUCUGAGCCACCAGGGAAGCCCAAUUCACAGAAUCAACUUUGGGGAGCAACAAGGCUGCAGGUCUUUUCCCUACGCGAGUAUCGAGAAGAGGGCGGAGGCCGUCUUGGAGUGCGUGAGAGAAGGGCCAGCCUGGAGGGGCGUCAGCACACGGAGAGGAAGUGACGCAAUGGCUUUCUUUGUUUCCCGUGAUUCCCGCUUCUUCACACCACUGGUUUCCUGCAUUUUCCUACUGGGAGGGUGCCACACUUGGUAUGACUAGGAUCUUUGACAUCAUUUGAAACACUUGAUAUUUGACUUUCCUGCCCUACAGCAAUAAAAUAUGGAGGGGAGGGGAGGAAUAUUGGGAUGAAACGGUGACAAAGUGACACACAACAGAUACAUUUGGCUCUCUAACAUUCAUGGACUGAUGCUGAAGCUGAAGCUCCAAUACUCUGGCCACUUGAUGUGAAGAACUGACUCAUUAGAAAAGACCUUCUUGCUGGGAAAGAUUGAAGGCAGGAGGAGAAGAGGACGACAGGGGAUGAGAUGGUUGGAUGGCAUCACUUACUCGAUGGACAUGAGUUUGAGAAACUCCGGGAGUUGGUGAUGGUCAGGGAAGCCUGGUGUGCUGCAGUCCAUGGGGUCACAGUCGGAAACGACUGAGUGACUGAACUGAACUGAACAGUCUUGGGUUUGCAUCAAAUGCAGUGAAGUCUCUAACUAGAGCUAAUCAAGUGGAACUAACAGAGUGUCGUUUGUGUACCAGGCUCCCUAGAUCCCAUUGACACUGCCCAUGAUCCCAGGGCCACACAUCUCCCUGGGCGGGUAGGGGUGGGGAUAGGUAGUUCCAGAUACUGAGAUCCAGCCAGCUCUGAGCUUGAGGCAACCUUACCUCUGCACCCAGCCAGCUGCUCAGAUGUGAUUGUUCUGUGCACUUGUCCUGACUUGUGAAAGGUUGAGAAGGAGUUCUCUAGGCAAUCCUUUGAAUUAAAUAUGAACAAUCCCAUUUUAUAAACUCUGACUUUGGAGGCAGGGCACUUAAAAACUGGACAUUGCCUUCUUUUCACUGCAUAGGUAUUGAACUGAUACAUAAAUGACAAGAUCCGUGAAGGAAGGAAAAUUAUUAAAGUUAAAACAAUGACAUAUAGAUUGUUUAAAGAUAUCUGGUCACAAAUUACAAUGCAUUUAAGCUAAUCUGUGUAUGAAAAAACCUCUUUAAAUCAAUAUGGAGAAGGGCAAUCACCAAGUGGGGGCUGCAGCAAUGUUUACACAGUGAUGAAAGCCACAGAGUGGAGCAUAGUGAUACCCUGCAGAUAUUGCCAUCUGGGGCAAGUUCUCUACCGUUGUAUCCAUUCCUUUAUAUAAAUGUGGGUAUUUAUAGUAUCCUGGGAGUUUUGAAUGAGAUUGUGUAGGUAAAUGCUUAGCACAACAUACACACAUAAUAAGCAUCUAAAGGUA
ensembl:lncRNA